ensembl:misc_RNA
CAGGACGGGUACAGCACAGGCAGUGACAGGGAGGAGUUUCCCCAUAUCACCCCAUCCAUGUUCCUCAGCCCUGACCUGGAGGAACAUCUCAGGA